UUCUCUCCUAUAAAGAUGACUAUUUUCAUUUCAAUCUGUGCUAUGUUCAGCAAAAAUAUUGGACAUAAUUUUGUUGGAGAGGUGGUUCUGGAGGAGAGUGAGAGAUGGGUCCAGGAAGGUGGGCACCCACUAGAGAGGGCUGUGGAGUUGGGCUGUGAGUUUGAUGGGAGUCUGAAUGCUCUGACCUCCAAGCACUGUCUGAAGGAACUUGGGUAUACCCUGCUUCCAGGAAUGGAUGAGAUGGUGUCCAAAUGCCCAAACGGUGCUACAAAAAGAAAGUGAAGAAACUGUUUUCUGAAUUCACUUCUGGUAGAACAAGAAGACACAGGAAACCUUGGGGUCAGAUCCUGGGGGGAAAUUCCACUUAUCUAGAAGGGUCAGCUAAGGAAAUGCCGUGGAUUUUACAGUCAAAACUUUCUGAGUUGUGCUGGCCCUGGCUUUGCACAGGGUGGACUGGAUAGCUUGGGACAACGUUUCAAAAUCCUUUCUUUUCUGUAUUUUUCUGGUCUAUCAGUAUCCCAGCAGGCGAAGUGGGCUUUCUCUGCCUUUUUGCUGUAUAUCUGAGGGCUGCGUGCAGUCAUAGAGAUUCUUGACUCAGAGGGCAGUGAGGCGCUGGCAGUGCUGCCCAAGGGCUGUGGUGCCCCAUCCCUGGAGGUGCUCAAGCCUGGGUUGGAUGGGGCCCUGGGCAGCCUGAGCUGGUGGGAGCAACCAGCCCAUGGCAGGGGUUAGGACUGGGUGGGAUUUGAGCUCUCCUCCAAGCUAAGCCAGUCUGUGAUUCUAUGAUUCUAAAGAGUAUGAAGCAUGGGAAUUUUAAACAAAAUUGGCCCCGAAGUUUCCAUGCUCAGUGCUGUAAGAGAAUGAGGAAAAGCUUUAGCAGAAAAUAUCUGGAAUUGGAUCAAGAGGCACACAUACUCCUAAACAAAGGACUUACAUGUCCUUGUAAGAAAAAGCAGAUGUAAACAGAGAUGAAAGAGGCAGACAGCAGGUUGGGUUUCUCUGGAUCUCAUUUGUCUUCCUUGUGCUGCAGCUGUCUCAAUUGAGUGCUGUGGGGCCACAGUGUGCCAGGACAUGCCGGGCCAUCCAUCAUGGCUUUGCUGGCUGCCAGGGCAAGUCCAUGCCGAGCAGAAGCUCCCAGCUGUGCUGAGGGACUCUGCCUCGUUUGAUUCAUCAGUGUGAAGGCUGCAGCCUUUCCUAUACAUUAUGCAGGCAAAUGCAAGCACAGAACAACUUCUUCCAGCAGGGCCUUGACCCCUGCAAAUAUGACCUCACAAAGCUUUUCUACAAGAGCUCUGGCUGGGCUUCAGGGGGGUCAUUGCUCUCCUACUCCCAGAACCUCUUCAUCUUCUGGGAAGGGAUUUCUCCUGCUCUGGAUCUUGCUCCUUUUAAGCAAAGCUGCUCUCAGUGCCAGACAGAGCAUGAAGAGGAAGGACAGGAAACACUGGAAGCAACAAAUGAAGCUGGCGCUGCCAGGAGCAGGGCUUUGAGCACUUCGUGGAGGAAAUACAGCAGCUGCUGCUAGUUCAUUAACAUCCUUCCCCAGACCCUGUCCUCUGCAUGGAGCUGACAUGACACAUUCCUCUCCUAGUGUUGUCUCACUGGCAUGAUUUGUCUGCAUUAAAUGUUUGCUGUCUACAGUUAGCUCCUUAUUUAGCUAUGACAUGUCAUGUUUAACUGCACAGAAAUACUGCAGCAGUGCCAGGGCCAGCAGAAAAACUCACAGAAGAGAUCUUCUGCAUGAGGUUAUUGUUGUGACCAUAGGAUGCUCCAGGGCUGAAUUCAAGCAAACAUACACAAGCCUGGAAACACAUCUGAGCUGGCAGAUGAUCUUACUUGAGCCCACACAUCCACCUGCACAGCCUUCAUCCCUUCCUUCUUUAUUUGUGCCUAGCAUAAUGGCUUGCACCUGGAGCUGGGAGCUUGCCCCCCCCUGCAAGCAAUUGUGAGCACACCUUAGGUUUGCAAACCACAACAUGAUUAAUUCCCAGCAAAGCUUCUAGGUUUAGCUCUGUGGCUGCCCAUGGUUCAGGGUAUUCCACAGGAUUGAUCAGAUGCCUCCCAUGCAUGUCUGGGGCAUUGAGCCAGAGAUUGGUCUCUUAAGACUGGGACAAAACCAUGAGAGCGGGAAUGAAGAAUAAUCCAAGGAAUGGAAGAAAAGCAGAAUGUCUCUGGCAUGCCUGUGCCGGGGUCCUACCACCCCA